UGAUUGAAGAUACAAGAAUAGAUUUAAGAUGCUUGAUUCCUCUUCUAGUGGAAUAACUAGUGGCAAGAUUACUGCUAUAAACAGCUAC
rnacentral:lncRNA from 1 species